UACGGGGGGGGCAAGCGUUGUUCGGAAUUACUGGGCGUAAAGGGCGCGUAGGCGGCCUUCUAAGUCGGACGUGAAAUCCCUCGGCUUAACCGAGGAACUGCGUCCGAUACUGAAAGGCUUGAAUCCGGGAGAGGGAUGUGGAAUUCCAGGUGUAGCGGUGAAAUGCGUAGAUAUCUGGAGGAACACCGGUGGCGAAGGCGGCAUCCUGGACCAAUUCUGACACUGAGGAGCGAAAGCGUGGGGAGCGAACCGG
rnacentral:rRNA from 1 species